UGUAAACACGUGUAGCUGGUAUCCCGAUGAUGGCGAUUUUUUGAUGAUUUAUCAGAGUAAUUUGAAAAGUGUCGCACUUAUUUGAGAAAAAAAAGGCUUGAAGAAAAUCUGGUACCUGCUUUGUUUUGGGAUUUACAUAAAUGAUGUUCUUAUUGGUGACAAUUUACCUGCACACUUAUACUGGGGUCAUAUAAAAGAUGAAAUGAUGAAAAGAAAAACCUGAAUUUUAAGAACAGGAAGACUGUGUUUUU